rnacentral:lncRNA from 1 species
GGAAGAGGUUGUUCAUCACGAGCUGGGGAAACAUCCCGACGGCAUGGAAGGUAACGCGGGGAAUGCCGAGGUCGGCGGCGAUGGCGACGGAGGAUCUCGUCGUGCGCGGUCUGGGCGAGGUCGACGGCCUUAUACACGCGCCAGGACUCGGAGGCAGGGGCGGUGGCGAGGUUCUCGACGCCGUCAGGGAGGCCGACGGAGGGGAACGGAAAGAGGAGGAGCCCGACGGGGCGGCCGGCGGCAGCGGAGCGGUCGAGGGUGGGGCGAACGAGGGCGGCGUUGGCGGGGGUGAGCACGAGGGUGGGCUCGAGGCCGGGGCGGGCUGCGAAGAGGCAGGCGAGGUCCACCAUAGGGAUCAUGUGGCCCGAGGCAAACAACGGGAUAAAGAACACCCGGAAGAAGUGACCAUUUGUAACACUAGUAUGCGCCACUCUUACAGGCUUCAAAUCCUCCCAUGGUUUUUAUAGACCUCUCCUUCCCGCCCUUGCGAACCCAUCGGAUCACGCACCGGUAAAUUUGCCUCACAUCGAAGGCAAAAUUAAUGUUCUUGUCGCUGUUCCCUCGUAACAAGAACUCGCACCGGUACCAACCAACCAAUGCCAACGUCGGCAGGUUCGUCUGUCACGUUAAUCAUCCGUUGGUCUCUCGUGAUUAACUCAUCUCAACCGUCUCUCGUGAUUAUCUCAUCUACUACUACCUUUCGUCACACAAUAUUUUUUCCCUCAUCACAUUAUAGGCUUCGUGUUGGGAAGGACCCUUCUCUCUCUCUCUCUCUCUCUCUCUCUCUCUCUCUGUGGACGAAAGACUGUUAAACAUGUGACCUUCGGCCUUUUCUGAGGUUAGGUGGGGAAUUUGCACCGCUCACAUUUUAUUUGCAUAACCUUUGCAGCAGUUAAUCACUGUUUCUUUCAUUAUAUAUAUAUAUAUAUAAGAAAUAACUCUAAGAAAAUUACAGCACUCUAUCUAUAAGAAAAACAAUUAGUUCUGUGCUUGGGGAGACGUGUAUCAAUCGCCUUCGGGUUUCACAUUUCAACAAAAAUGGAAAGAAGAAAGCAACCCAUCGUUUAUGGCGGGAAGGAAUACUGAGUGAUAAUGGAUAGUCUUCUGGGAUGUCCUCCGUGCCCAUAGCAGCGGCUUUUCUCCUUCAGCAUCAUAUGGAGUACGAAAAGGAGAUAUGGCCCGACGCGGACAGAGGAGAGAAGAAAGCCUUCAGGUGUGGCCAAAAUAUGAUAGGAAAGGCCCCCAUGAAAUGACUACACCCCGUCUUGUUUGCUUCCGCUUCUCCGCUGUCCGCCAUUAUUGCCCCCUCUUCUUCUUCUUCUUCUCCUUCAAUGUUAGCAACCGGAUCAGCUGGUCGACAGGGUUUGUGAUUCUGGAUUGAGACCUAACGAGCAAGAAUGCAACAGCGCUGCGUCUUCUUUCCCAACGUCGCUCUGCUUGCACCGGGAGGAAUCCGCUGCAUUUUUUGACGUCCCCUGCAGAUUCGAAGGUUUGGUAGCUCUAAGGUGUGCUUGAGUUGAGCGCAAUACGACUACGUGGGUUGGAGAUUGCAAUCUGUGCAUUUAAUGUUCGAGUGAUAGGACCAGAGCAGAAGGCACAGUACCAAACUGUGCAAGGUAUACUUUGCGACCUUCAUCAAAUACGUAGCUGCAUCCCUUUUGGUACGUACGACACGUAUCAUCUUCAGCUCGCCGCGGUGACUUAGCCAUGCGUUGUCAUCAUCAUCGUUAGGAAUUGAAUGGAACCACACUCGACUGAGAUGGACAUUUGAAGCACGUACAAUGAUUGAUCGCAUACCGUGGGCGGACGAGUCCUCCUGCCUUCUCACAUGGAGCAGGCGAACCCUGGGGACGUGGGUCCCACGCCAUUCAAUUAGCCGUCCUGUCACCGUGGAUUCGGGUUUGCCACUUCAUUUCCUGUCUGAAACCAAAAGAAGACGACGUCCCCACACGGGGCUCAAUAAUUCUUCGACCUUUCUUUCUUCUCUCUCCCUCACAUGCGCUCCCUCUCAUCCUCCGUCUGACUUGUCGAGGCCGUGCGAGACAGAGUAUCCACGUGCACACGCCCGCGCGAGUCAAAGCUCUUUACAGCUCCUCCGCCUCUCUCUUCAAGUCGGUUCCGUUCAAGGAGUCAGCGGUCCAUACGUGACUAUAUUGCUCGUUCUCCUCCCGUACACAUCAGCUUCACCCAGGCUACUGUUUCGGUAGAACAAUACAUUUCUUGCGAGUUGCGAGGCAUCCACUCAUCUGGUUUUCUGCUGGCUGUUGUUGCCUCCACGAGAAUGAUUGUUUCUCACCUGGCGAGACAUGGAUUCUCGCUGGCCUCUCCGCCUCCAACAACAAACCUCGUUCGUGGCGAUGCAUACUGCUUUGGCUUUCGUCUGACACACAUCUCUUCCCCUGUUACUUGUCUCAACAUAGAAAGAUGAGAGUCGAGAAGCUAAUGGAGAAACUGGAGAGAAGUAAACGUUGGCAUAAAUCGAUGACUCAGUAGUAACAAAAUUAUAGUUGUCAUGUAAGCAUAAUAUAGGAUGCUUUUUGGCCUUCAUGGAUUCAAAGAGGACAGACAUGAUAAGGAUCUAACUUUAUAGGGUUUGGUUUAAUCGGAAGAGACAAUGCCACACCCGACUUGACCUUUUGCCAUCAAAAUUUGGUCCCACAACGCGAUAGUUUGCGAACAAAAUCGUCGCCACUGAAUUGAUGAAACUCUACUCUGUUCUGACACGCUCAUUUCAGCUUUCUUUUUGUCACACUCAUCUCAACUUGGAGAGGAAACAAGAACAUCAUAUUACGUUUCAUAUUUGGCAGCAAACAAGGAUAUCGUGUUAGAUUAAACGAAAUCCAAGCAAGUAGGCAACCAACGAGGCAAGGAGUCAGUACAGUAAGCAAGAAAUGGUUUAUAGAAAUCUCUGUUUCUCUCUCUCGCCAAUGCUCACUGCAGGACUGCUUCCCAAGCAUGAAAAGAACUCCUACCUCUGCCGCCUCACUUGACAUCCCCUUCUCUCUUUCUCUCUCUCUGAAUCUGUGAUCGGUCCGAAGAGCUCGACAAUGGGCGUUCUGCGGCACCGGCGCCGCCGUCUCUCCGCUGCCAUCGCCUUCUUCGUCCUUGCCGUAGCUCUCGGUGAGAGUACUGAGUACUGACCAAAGCCAACAUCCCGUUUCCGCUCUCUGUUUCUAGUUUCUUCAACGAUCUCUCUUUUCCUCUCUUUAGCUACGUCUCUGCUGAACUAUGAUGCCUUCGGCUCAAAAAAAAUCCCACCUUGCAUGCGUGUUCGUAUUCUAGAUCUCAUCUUUCUUGCUUUCACCAGAUAGCCACUUCCUUCCGAUCUUCUCGUGGUUCAAGGUUAUCCAUAAUAGAUCCUUCAGUGCUCUCAACAACUGACCCCUCUUUUAUCUUCUUAUUGCCUCCCAAAGGGGAGAAAAGAUCAACCAGAAACCGACGCCGUAACCUUCAUCACCAAUCUUGCUUCUUCGUCACCAGCAGCCAUUAGUGCUCUCUGAAAAAUGUUCAUGAAGUGCUCUAUCAUCAUAAAACCAUUUCUAUCCUUUUUCUGUAGUCAUGUUAGCUCUAUUAACCACUUGGUUCCCGUCUGAUGUUGAUUUAUAGGGAGUACAUUGGUAGGAAUUGCUCAGGAAGUGGGAGACACAGGGCUGAGGCCUUCGGAAAGAGAGAACUGGGUAGCUCGGAGGCGACUAGCCGGCCCUGGGUCGUCGCCGCCUACCUGCUGGGCUCGCUGCGGCCGGUGCUUCCCCUGCCGGCCGGUUCACGUGGCGAUCCAGCCGGGCCGAAGCGUUCCGCUCGAGUACUACCCGGAGGCAUGGCGAUGCAAGUGCGGCAGCAAGCUCUUCAUGCCAUGAGAACCGAGGAGGAACGAAAACACAGAUUGCUGAGGGUAAACGCCACGGGCGAUGCGUUCUUGUAUCAUUUGCACAAUUCUUAGAUACGCCUGCAAUAUGAAUUGGUUCAGCUUCGUCUUCGUUGUCGUCAUCAACUCUUUCUCGUAAAUGAUAGUCAAAAGUCGAAUUCGAGGAAGCAAUCGAGGAGAUUCUAUUCGACUAGACCGCGAAAUGUAGCCGUGAAAUAGCAAUUAAAUAGGCCUUGUUAUCUUUAGCAUAUUAUAGAUGUCUUCUCCGCAACAAACGGCGUCCACAGCUCCUCAUCUCCAUUGAUUUCGUUACUCUAUAACAUGCACGUAUGGACCGAAGAAGAGAAUCCAAAUCGACCAAUCCUGGGGAAUUGGGGACACGUGUUUCUCAUGAAGUGAUCAAAUAACAUGGUAUUGGUGUAGAUGCAAAACUUCGUGACUUAUAGUAGUAUCAUAAUUUAUUAUCACUAAUUUGAAUGUUAAAAUUAUUUUUUGAUUUUUAUUUUUAUGUUUGCGUUAGUAACAUUGACAUUGUUAGAGUAAAUAGAUUAUAUGUUUUACUUUCAUAAUUAUAAAGAUGUUAAUAUAUUUUUUAAAAAUAUAAAAAUUGAGAUACUAAAGAUAAUUAUCUUUAAUUAACUCUCCGAGGAGUUGUAUAUUAUAGGAAACCAAAAACAGACAUAGAGUCUAGUCUAAUCAAAAGAAGAAAUCAUGCUUGAGAUAAACGAAGAAAUGGAUUAAUAAUUAGUUUAAUUGUAAAGGAAUGUCGAUUCGUGAUCUUAAUAAUUUUGUUGGGACUUAAAAAUCCAUAUCAUAUUCACGAUGCAUCAAUUUUUUUAGGUUCAACAUUUUUAGCUUCGUGACAGUGAAUGAUUUGGAAGGCAAGAAGUAGCGAUUCUAGUAAAAGAAAACUCAAUUAAAUGCAUGAUAAUUAUGAGAUUUCUUAGACGGCCUCUAAGAUUAAAGAACCAUAGAAUAUCCCGAAUCUCAGAGAAAUAUUCGUUUUUAUCAAUUUUUCAUUCAAUUCAUUUCAAAUAAGUCGUAUCUUGUUCAAACCAAUGAAUAGAGCUGAGGUUAUAGUUAAAACAACUAGUAGAAAACCGAAAUAACUAGUUAUAGUAAGCAUGAAAGAGCUAAAUUAGAUAUGUUCUUUUGCUACAUAUGUUGAUAAAACACUUACCUAAGUUUCAAUUCUUAUAAAAUACGAUGGCAAGAAAAAAUCAAUUGACAGAAUAUAUAUAUGGUCUUUAUGAUUGUGAUGGAGCUAUCUAGGCUCAAUUUUAUACUAUAUGAUUCUAUCCAUCUGAUCAUAAUAUAUUUUGUCGAUCACAGAUAGUUGGAGAUUUACUUACGAGACAAACAUAGAUGGGUGUCAAUAGUUGAUCCAUAAUACUCAUAUAAUGCUUAAAGAAGAGAUUUUGAGUGAAGUAGAGGUGGAAUCUCUCUUUCAUGCUGGAGGAGUUCUCCCGAAAGGAGAAUGAGAAUAAGAUCACAUUCUUUAUGGAGAAUAGAUAAAAAGUCAAAAUCCCUUGGAAGAAGGAAAGAGAUCUCAUUUUGGAAUUUGGGAUAGAAACGAGUUUCUUUAUAAUUGAUGUGCUCAAAAUUAAAAGAAUAUAGAUAAAUUGUUGGUGAUAAAUGUAAUCUUCUAAUAUCAUGAAUCAGACGACAAAAUGACAUUAACAUCUUCUAGUGCCAAUGACUAGAUUGACAUGAUCUUAACAUCAUCUUUGACGAUAGAGACAUGUGGAUUACAGAGAUACCAAUGCAUCAUGCUCUAUUACCGACUUAUCUGAAUAAUAAGAUAACCAUUGCCACUACGAACAAGUUAAAGUUGAGAUGAAUACAUCAUCAUUUGGAUACUCAUCAAAAAGGAAAACACUUUCUUUUUUUCUUGCCGAGGUAAACUACAAGAUAUAGGACAAAUAAUGACAUCGGGUUCGACUUCGCUUAUGAUAUUUGAACGCAAGUACAAAAUCUAAUUAAAAAUAGAAAUUUCUUGAUUUGCAAUAAUGUUGGUAAAGGUGCAUGGAACAAUGUGAGUGAUGCCCUCGGCAAUGCUAAUUGUGCGUCUUCAUCUCAUCCGGACUAUUCCAAAAUUUUCUAUUUCUCCCUUGCAAAUUAUUGAGUGAAUCAUCGUUUUGUAUUAUAAAAAAGAAAAGGUCCGGCUGUAAUUAGGACUCAUAGGAAAGAAAAUAGAUUUACUAAGAAAUCAAAUACACAUUAUUGAAAGAAAAAAUAAUUAUCAAGAACUAAAAAUCGAUCACCACAUAAAUAUGCUUUUUUUUUGGGGGAGGGGGGGGGGGGGAUUCAAGGAUAAUAAAUAUAAAUAAAUGGAAGCUCAUCUUGAAAUCUAAUUCAUUCAAAACUAUUCAAAUCUAUAGGGCUAAUUACAUAUUACCCGAUAUAGUUAGCUAUCUUUAGCGUUUCGUUCUCUACCCUAUAAAAAGUUACAUUGACACUCUUAUAAUUAUGAAAGUGAAACAUAUAGGUCUAUUUACCCUAAUGAUUUAAAUUUUAUUUAUGAAAACAUGAAAACAAAUGACGAAAAGAUAAUUUUAACAUUUUGCGGCAAACGGUGUUGGUGGUGGUAGAUGACAACACGGAUAGAGUUGCUUGGCCACUUUCGACAAUUAUAAGAUCCGCUCUCACCGUGAUACCAAUCGCCUCCACGAGGAGCGCACUAUCGACCUCAUCGUCGCUUAUCCCGUGUUGCUUUGAAUUUGCAUUGAUGUUGACGUAGUUGUUGAGCAACACUAUGUUGAUGUCCAUGUAGAUGGUAGUGGUCGCAGCAGCAUCUAAGGUAAUGAUUGUGGCCACCUCAUUGCUGACUCAUUGGGUGGAUCUCAGCCUCGACCCAAAGCUAGGGUCACUUGAGCUUAUGUUGCUCCCUCCAUUGUUGCAUCAAUUUCGGCAUCACCUCUUAUUGAGUAUCCCUUUCAUCGCUCUAUAAUUGCGUCAAUACCGAUGUGUGGAGGGACUCGAGAACGAUAGGGUGGAGGCCACAACAUAUGGUAGAUGCUGAGGCAAGAGUACUUCCUACGUCGUCGAUGGCAAAGAGAAGGCAACGAUGGUGACGAUGGAUGAGGUAGAAGCGCCAACAGAGGUAGAGGUUAUGUUCACCUCCACCAUAGUGGCAAGGUUGUGUUUACCUCCAGUAUCAUCCUCCUCAUCUUCCUUUACCUCUAUCUCUGCUAGUGCUUCUACCUCAUUUAUUAUGACCAUUACUACCUCUUCUUUACCAUUAAUGGCGUCAGCGGUACCCUCGCCUCCAAGUAUAUCAUCAGUUGUGGCCUCUACCCUGCUGUCCUCGAGUCCCUCCAUCUAUUGGUGCAUACACAGAUGUCGAGCGCAUAUCGCUCUACAUCUAAGUCGAUGUUUAUGCAGAUAUCGAGUGAUUUUUUAUGUCACUCAAUAGCUACGUCAAUGUCGACGCAAAUGCAGAGUGAUGAAAGGGCCACUCGACGAGAUAUGAUGCUAGAACUGACGUGGCAGCGAGGGGAGCGAGAGGAGCUCUGAGGUGAAAGCUAGGAUCCGCUCAAUGGGUCAGCGAUGAGAUGGCCACCACCAUCUGCAUCAAUGCUGACACAAUUAUCGCUCGGCAAUUGUGCAUGUCGACAUAGAUGUAAAGCGGUGCAGGGUGGCGGCGAUGAGAUCUGUGAUGUGCUCCUCGUGAAGGCGAGUGGCAUUGUGGUGAGAGUUGACCUUAUCGUCAUCAAAGAUGGCCAGACAACUAUGUUAGCAUCAACGCUGAUAGCACCGUUGUUCACCACCAUCGAUGUCAUCGGCUAGUGAAUGUUAAAAUUAAUUUUUUACCUUUUAUUUUCAUAUUUUUAUCGUUAAAACUAACAUCGUCAAAGUAAAUGGACUUAGAGGUUUCACUUUCUUAAUCAUAGAAAUAUCAAUAUAAUUUUUUAAAGUAUAAGAACCGAAACAAUAAAAUAACUAACUAUAUAAGAUAAUAUAUAAUUAUCUUAAAUCUAUAAAUCAAUUUACCUCAAAUAGAGUUAUCAAAAUGAGCAUAAACCCCUAAAAUUAAAUUAAUCCAACACGUUGGGUCGGAUUCAUUUCAAGACGCGGGUCACAUCACAACAAUAUCUCCCCCACCCUCUCUCUCUCUCUCUCUCUCUCUCUCUCNNNNNNNNNNNNNNNNNNNNNNNNNNNNNNNNNNNNNNNNNNNNNNNNNNNNNNNNNNNNNNNNNNNNNNNNNNNNNNNNNNNNNNNNNNNNNNNNNNNNNNNNNNNNNNNNNNNNNNNNNNNNNNNNNNNNNNNNNNNNNNNNNNNNNNNNNNNNNNNNNNNNNNNNNNNNNNNNNNNNNNNNNNNNNNNNNNNNNNNNNNNNNNNNNNNNNNNNNNNNNNNNNNNNNNNNNNNNNNNNNNNNNNNNNNNNNNNNNNNNNNNNNNNNNNNNNNNNNNNNNNNNNNNNNNNNNNNNNNNNNNNNNNNNNNNNNNNNNNNNNNNNNNNNNNNNNNNNNNNNNNNNNNNNNNNNNNNNNNNNNNNNNNNNNNNNNNNNNNNNNNNNNNNNNNNNNNNNNNNNNNNNNNNNNNNNNNNNNNNNNNNNNNNNNNNNNNNNNNNNNNNNNNNNNNNNNNNNNNNNNNNNNNNNNNNNNNNNNNNNNNNNNNNNNNNNNNNNNNNNNCCCCUACCCUCUCUCUCUCUCUCUCUCUCUCUCUCUCUUUCUCUUAGGCUCGCACUAAUUCGAUUCCUCCGGAGAUUUCGACACUCUGCCUCUCUUUUCCUGCGAAAUUGUCACAAAUCCCAUAAAAAGUUGGGUCCACUUUGCCUCAGGGUUCCAUUCCUCGUUGAUUGUUCUUUGUGUCGACGAACAUGAUGCUUUAUUAUUUGUGUGUGUGGGGCCCAUCGUAAAGACGUGUAUGAGACUUCAUCUCGAGCAUUCUACUCUUUCAUAUACAAGUCUCAUCCAACUUCCAACGAAUCGAAGAUUGAUGCAACCAUCACGGAUUUGUAAUUAUCGACUCUAAAUCUUGUGUAGAUCCUUCUUGAUUUCCAUUUUCAUGGAAAUUAUGUCAUAAAAAUGCUCAUUUUUAGUGAGUUAAAUAAUUUAAGUAAUAAGAAAAUAAUUUAAAAAAUAAAAUACGAUCGUGAACUUAAAAAAUAUUAAUACUUAUCUAAUCAUGUUGUUUACUUAAUUACGAUUAAUACUCAUUCUCGUUCGAUGAUUUAUGAAGUGGUAUCCCUUUGGAUAUGACUAAUGAUAAAACUAUCCCUUUCUAUCAAUUUCAUGAUGCAUCUCUUUGUGGCCGUGCCAAAGUAUAUACGUUCUGUCGAAACGAACGCCUCUCUGCCCAUCAUCCGCCGUGCUCGCCAUCCGCACGAAUCACAAAGCGUCUCGAUGCUGGUAGAAGCAAACGGGUUUAAACACUCCACUCUCUUCAACUUUUACUUAAAAUGCUUCUCCGAAGUCGCCACGUGUCAUCCACACUCGUCUGGAACAUUCCUCCCUUCUCUCGCCCGCACCCGUCCCCGACUGUCAUUAAGCAAGCCCGCCCGCGAAGAAAGGAAGAAGCGCUUGCGGUAUCCCUCGGAGAACAACUCGAUCGCUUCGUCGUCGCUUGGUGGGUUCCGGAGAGAAUGUGGGCGCGGCCGGGGUACUGGAAGGGUAGGGACGUGGAGGCGGCGGGGGCGCCGCCGCUGUAUCCCAUGAUGCUGGAGCCGCCGCAGCUGCGGUGGGCCUUCAUCCGCAAGAUCUACACCAUACUGGCCGUACAGAUGCUGCUCACCGUCGCCGUGGCCGCCGUCGUCGUCUCCGUUCCCCCCGUCUCCCGAUUCUUCGUCUCCUCCGGCGCCGGCCUCGGCCUAUACAUAUUCCUCAUCAUCCUUCCCUUCAUCGGUAGGUUUCCCUCUUCCCACCCACCUUCUAUUUCUCAUUAAUUUUGUUAAUUUUACUUGCAAAAAUAAGUAAUAAUCGCCUCGAAAUUGCGGGAUAUGCUUCAAAUUGUGGCAGUGUUGUGUCCCCUGUACUACUAUUACCAGAAGCACCCCUUAAACUUCCUUCUCCUCGGCGUCUUCACGGUAUCCAUCAGCUUCGCAGUUGGAUUGACGUGUGCCUUCACCAGCGGUAGUCACACUCCUCACCCCUCCCUUCCUUUCCUUUAUUCUUAUUGGAAAUCCUGCUUCAUUUUAAGGGGGGAAGGAAAAAAAAAAGAAGUCAUUUUUUUGCUGAUGGCACACUGAAGAGAUUAGACUCGGUUUCGAAUUCGCUGCGCAGGGAAGGUGAUUCUCGAAUCAGUAAUCCUCACGGCAGUCGUGGUGGUGAGCCUCACGCUCUACACCUUCUGGGCUGCUUCCAAAGGCCAUGACUUCAGCUUCCUCGGGCCUUUCCUCUUCUCUGCCGUCAUGAUACUGAUGGUGUUUGCUCUCAUCCAGGUACUGUUGGCCGCCAUUGCAUACGUGACUACAUGGAAAGUGAGCAUUCUAUGUGACUCAUGUGAUUGCAUGGUGUCUUCAGGUGUUUUUUCCCAUGGGAAGGAUCUCUGCUAUGAUUUAUGGAGCGCUAGCUGCGGUCAUAUUCUGCGGAUACAUAAUCUACGAUACCGAUAACCUGAUCAAACGCUACUCCUACGAUGAAUACAUCUGGGCUGCCGUAGCACUGUAUCUCGAUAUCACCAACCUUUUCCUCUCUUUGCUCACCCUAUUUAGAGCAUCCGAGGGAUGAGAUGGAGGAGUUUGUGGGUCUUGCAAGGGUGUUUGCACCAAAUCUCUCUAUCUGUCUUGUCUGAGAUAAAUUUUAUGAUUGUUACAUUAAUCCGUUCAUAAUUCUAUUUUUUUUAGAAAAUAAAAUAUUAGUGAUAAAUAUGAUAUGAAUAGGAUUACUGAAAGGUAAGAUCAUCGAACUCUCACGGUUAUGAGCAUGAUAGAUUAUUAUUUUAUACUCAAAUUAUCGUGAGAAGAAGUUUUAAAGAUAAUUAUAUAUAUCUUGAAUAGGAUUUGUAGUAAGUUAAUUCUAUAAUUUUUUUUUAAGUUAUAGAUGGAUAGAAAACUUAACUUAAGAUAUUUAUAUAUUUAUAAAUAUCUUAUAUAGAUAGGAAUCAUCAAUUCAUAUGAAAAAAAAUUAGAUUUAAGGAUUAUUUUAGAUAGUUUAUUAUUUAUUCAUAAAAAUUCGAAAGGAUACAUAUUUAUUUGUCCAAAUCAUAGUAUAUGGAUAAUUAAAUAUGAUAAUAUAAGAUUUUUUAAAAAAAAUAAUAAAUCAGUGAGAGUGAAAAUAUUAAAAUUUAAUUUUGAUAUUCAAGAGAUACAAUUUGAUACUCUUUUAUCAUUUGAGAUAUUGUUAUUACUUAAAUUAUUAAAUGAUUUGAUAAAGAUAAAUAACAAAAUAAUAUUAUUGAAUUCACAUAUAAUAUUGAUAUCACUGUUAAUGAUUUUGUAAAAUAAUCAUAAUCAACAGUUUUGAUAAUAUCUCGAAGGGAAGGAAGACUUAUCAUUUCUAAUCAUUAUAUAAUAUAUCUACACAUAACAUAGGAAUUAAAAGGGUCUCUUAUUAUUUUCAUAAGUUAUUAAAAAUAAUUAUUUUAAAAAGUGAUAUAAUAUAAUAAAAGAAGAGUUAAAAUCAAUAAUCAUAAUAGUUUUUGAGAACUCGUCGAAUUAUCUAAUAAUUAUAAAAGUAUCUGUUAUAUAAAUAUAAUUCAAUAAAUAAUAUCGAAUGACAUGAUAAAAAAUUAACUCAUUAUGAUUUUGAGUUAUAUUAUAAGAAUGUAAAAUGAAGUUUUCUAAUUGAGAAUAUAGAUUUAUAUUUGUUAAUCUAAACGAUUCACAAAGAAAAUAAAAAUAUAUAAAAUUUGAUAUGCAAAUUUUAAAAAUCUAUUUAUUACCUUAAACAAGCCUCCAUGGUAUAAAGCUUCUUAAUAUCAUUACAUUUUUCAUAUUUAAAUAAAAUAUUAUUAAUUGAUAUUUAUAUAUAAAGAUCAAUGAGAGAAAGUUUAUUAUAUUAGUCUUAUAUAUGGAUAAUAUUUUAUUUGUCAAUGAUCUUAGUUUAUUAUAUUGAGCUUACAAAUUUUUCAUAAAGAUUUUAAAAUAGUUGAUAUCAAUGAUACAUCUUAUAUUAUUAGUAUUGAGAUAUUUAAGAAUAUAUUUUAAGGAUUAUCAGGAUUCUCUUAAAAAAGAUAAUUGAUCGAGUCUCGGAGAGAUUAAGUAUAAAACUUUGUACAACAAAUGAUAAAAGUAAAAAAAAAUUAAUCAAAAUAAAUAUUUUUUAACGACUUAGAAAAAAUCAAAUAAAGAAAAAUAUUUUAUUUUUUCUUUAUCUAUGCAUCGUUGGAAGUUUAUUGUAUGCUCAAACCUAUGCCGGAUCAUAUAUCAAUUUUACGGUUAAAAUAUUGGUUAUAUACUAGAGUUAUCCGAGAAUGAAAAUACUAAAAGACUAUAAAGAAUAUAAUAAGAUAUCUAAAGGUGACGAAGUAUUAUAUCAUCAUAUAUAUAUGAAAUUAGAUCAACUUGAAAUGAUAGUGUUUCAAGUGUUGAUUCUAUAAAUUACCUCAAUAAUAGGUAGUCCACGUUAUGAUUUAUAUUUAUAUCAAUUGGAGAGAUAAUUUAUAAGAAAAAAUAUAAAGUAAUAUAUUAUUAUGUUUUUAAUUAUAGAAGUUGAUUUUAUAACAGGCUUUGAUGCCAUGAAUCAAGUUUUAUGAUUAUAAAUUUUUAACUUAAGACUUAGUGUGAUUAGACUCAAUUGUCAAAUCAUUGAAGAUAUUUUGUGAUAUAUCACAUUAGUUUUUUUCUUUGAGAAUGACAAAUACUAUUAUAACUCUAUGUAUUGUAGUAUAAAGUACUUGAUGAUUAGAAAAAAGAGUCUAAAAAUAACUAAUAUCAAUUAAUAACUUAAGUUUAACUAUAUUACUUGCUAAUCCAUUCAUUUAGAUUUAUAGCCUAAAAUAUUUAAAAAAAUAUAUGUUCUUAUGAUUGGAUUUAUGAGAAACCCAUAAAACAUAUGGUAAUACAUAUUUGAGUAGACAUUAUAAUUGACAUUCUUGCUAAUGUAUUUAAAAUUAUUUUUUUCUAUUAUUCGAUUCACAUUUAUGUAGAUACAUAUUAUGGUUAAAUAUGAUGAUAUAAUUAUCUUGACAAGAUAAAUUAUAUGGGUCAUUUUGGACUGUAUAAAAAAAAGCUAAUAGGGUUAUAGUACAUAGAAGGAAGUAUGACAUUGAUAACUUAACUCGUAUUGCUAGUCAAAUUUAAUAUAGUAUUAUUAUAUUUAUUAGACUUAUUGACCUAGUUUUUUAAUUCGUGCACAUAUAAAUGAUUUUAAAAUUUUAAAAUCUAAUUAGAUAAAUUAAUUUUAAAUAAAAUUUAUUUUAUUUAUUUUACUAAUUAAUGGACUAAACGAGAGAGUGUUAGAUUAUAUGAUCCUAUCUAAUUAGAAAAGAUAUAUUAUAGACAUGAUUGGAUUCUGAUUAUGAUUAUCGAAGAAAGGCGAGCCACAUAAAAAAAAAAAAAUACACAUCGUAAAUUUAGAUAUAUAUUGUUAUUUGAUUUCAGAUUUUAACAUUAAAUUUUUUAUAAUAUAAUAUUAUAUUAUAUUAUGAUUUUUAUAUUUAUAAAUUUUCUUUUGACAUCUUAAUUAUACUAUGAUCUAGACUACCCAUCGUGAUUGAGAUGCCAUACCAAACAAUAAAACAUAUUGAGAUGCCAUACCAAACAAUAAAACAAGACUUCUGUGGAUAUAUACCUGCCGUCAGAGUCACCAUCAGACAAAGACUUCUGUGGAUAUGUACCUGCCGUCAGAGUCAUCCAUCAGAGCAAUGAUCCUUUCUAACUCUAAAGCCCAUCUAAUUAUUUCAUAUUUAUGUUAAUUUAAUGAAUUGACAUUAAUAUGCAUUGCGAACAUGUGAAGUUCGAAAGAAACUAAAAAAACUCGUUCACUUUCUUUCCUUUCCUGGCCGCAGGUUAAAGACGGAGAGUCAAAUCAAAUAUUCAAAAAAGAAAAAAAAAAAGAGAUUAAUAAUAAAAAAAUAUAGCAAAAAAAUAAAUAAAUAUAAAAUUAAUAUAAUUUGAUAAAAUUUUAUCUAUAUCCAUGAAUAAGAUGCUUGAGUUGUCUUAUUCAAACACAUCAAGCACCAAAAACAUUCCCGUCGCCAAGAGAAACCGAAAGCAUUAAAAAUAUUCCUUAGGUCACUUUUCACGAUCAGAUCGGGUGGCCGAAACUUAAAUUGACAUUUAUUUGAUACAACAAAGAUUGGACAUUGUAGAAUUAGAGAGACCACAUGAAAUUUAUUUGACAGAUCGGAUGAUAACGGAAGCUUCGGCUCACGACUCGGUCAAACUUCUAUCGCUGCGGUGUCCUGCUGUGUGUUCCCUACGCGGGUGGCAAGCAGCUCGUCGAUCAGGCUAUCGAGAUCCCGGUGCGAUGAUCCGCCCUUCGCCACCGCCGCCCUCGCCGCCACUGACAGCUCCAUGGCCUUUUUCCUUGCCGUCUCCCCCUCCCCUCCCGCCUUCAUGAACCCGGACACCUUCCUCGCGAUUGCUUCCCCAGGCACCACAGUCUUCUCGUGUUCUGCCACGCUCCGCUGCCCCUCCCACACCCGCUUCCCUGCCCCCGCCACCUCAACCACCAGCCUCUCGUUGAUGAACUGCUCGAACACCAGCGGCCACGUCAGCAUCGGUUUCCCCGCCGCGACAGCCUCCAGCACCGAGUUCCACCCGCAGUGGCUCAGGAACGCCCCCACCGCCCUGUGGCCCAGGAUGGCCACCUGCGGCGCCCACCCCCUCACCACCAGGCCUCGCCCGGCCACCCUGUCCUCCCAUCCCUCCGGCAUCCAAUUACUCUCUUCCUCGGAGCCGUCCCCGUCCUUUCUAACUGCCCAGAGGAACGGCUGGCCCGACGCCUCCAGCCCCGCUGCCAGCUCCCUGAGCUGCGCCGCUGUGAAGUGGCACCAGCUCCCGAAGCAAACGAACAGCACCGACCCUUCCUCCCUCGUGUCCAACCAUGCCAUGCAUCGGCCGCCAUCCUCCUUUGCCGCCGUGCCACCACCCCUUUCGACGCCGCCGCACGAGGCAAGCGCGACGGGUCCCACGAACCAGGCCUGCCGGGCAUCCACCCGACGGUAGUCGUCACAGUACUCCGGCUCGAACCCGUAGAAGGUGUUGACCACCACGCCGUGACAGGUCAGCUGCGCCUUCUUCAUCCGGUCCCAUGUGUCGCUCAUGUGGUUCUGCUCCAACAAGAACUCGGGCAGCUCGGCGCGCGGGAUCUCGAUGGGCCGGCCCGGCAGAUCCGGGACGGCGACGACCUGACGCUCCUGGAUCUCCGAUCGCAAGCGGAAGAGGUUGUUCAUCACGAGCUGGGGAAACACCCCGACGGCAUGGAAGGUAACGCGUGGAAUGCCAAGGUCGGCGGCGAUGGCGGUGGUCCACCAGUAAGGGAUGUCGGCGACGACGGCGUCGGGGCGAUGGCGACGGAGGAUCUCCUCGUGAGCGGUCUGGGCGAGGUCGACGGCCUUAUACACGCGCCAGGACUCGGAGGCAGGGGCGGUG